rnacentral:rRNA from 1 species
AAGAGCCCACCAAGGCGACGAUCGGUAGCUGGUCUGAGAGGAUGAUCAGCCACACUGGAACUGAGACACGGUCCAGACUCCUACGGGAGGCAGCAGUGGGGAAUAUUGGACAAUGGGCGCAAGCCUGAUCCAGCAAUGCCGCGUGGGUGAAGAAGGCCUUCGGGUUGUAAAGCCCUUUUGUACGGGAAGAAAUCCUGUCGGUUAAUACCCGGCGGGGAUGACGGUACCGUAAGAAUAAGCACCGGCUAACUUCGUGCCAGCAGCCGCGGUAAUACGAAGGGUGCAAGCGUUAAUCGGAAUUACUGGGCGUAAAGCGUGCGUAGGCGGUUCGUUAAGUCUGUCGUGAAAGCCCUGGGCUCAACCUGGGAAUGGCGAUGGAUACUGGCGAGCUAGAGUGUGAUAGAGGAUGGCGGAAUUCCCGGUGUAGCGGUGAAAUGCGUAGAGAUCGGGAGGAACAUCCGUGGCGAAGGCGGCCAUCUGGAUCAACACUGACGCUGAGGCACGAAAGCGUGUGGAGCAAACAGGAUUAGAUACCCUGGUAGUCCACGCCCUAAACGAUGCGAACUGGAUGUUGGGCUCAACUCGGAGCUCAGUGUCGAAGCUAACGCGUUAAGUUCGCCGCCUGGGGAGUACGGUCGCAAGACUGAAACUCAAAGGAAUUGACGGGGGCCCGCACAAGCGGUGGAGUAUGUGGUUUAAUUCGAUGCAACGCGCAGAACCUUACCUGGGCCCUGACAUGUCCGGAAUCCUGCAGAGAUGCGGGAGUGCCUUCGGGAUCGGAACACAGGUGCUGCAUGGCUGUC